UUUUUGGAGAGUUUGAUCCUGGCUCAGGACGAACGCUGGCGGCGUGCCUAAUACAUGCAAGUCGAGCGGACCGAACGGA
rnacentral:rRNA from 1 species